rnacentral:snRNA from 1 species
AUACUUAUCUGGCAGGGGAGAUGCCAUGAUCACAAAGGUGGUUUUCCCAGAACAAGGUUUAUAUGUUGCAAUCUGUAUGUGCUGACCCCUGCAAUUUCCCCAAGUGUGGGAUACUCGACUGCAUAAUUUGUGAUAGUGGGGGCCUACAUUAGUUCUCUCCCCUG